AGGAUUUUGGACUCUUAAUAGGUGAGGCGUACUCCGAGGACGAGCGUGGACAAGCGAGGUUAGGAGGCUACGAUUCUGCUACUUAUUAGUUCUAAGUAGCUGUUCAUCUUUGGUGGCUCACAAGGACUACACGGCGGUUCUGAUGUUUCCAUAAAUAAAAGUAGGGUCCUUCUACCUGUUUGUAUAAUUAGUACUAAGUUAGUUCAACUGCACUAUCGUUUUACCUAUGCUCUGAUAUGUGUGUAUCUUUUACUUGAUCACUUUUACAC